rnacentral:lncRNA from 1 species
GGGUGAGUGUGUCUUUAAUGCCAUGGCCCAGUGACCACAGGGAGCUCACAUUGCCUCUGUCAGCCUCUCCUGCUUCCCUGCAGGACAGGAGUGUCCCUCCCAGAUGGGACAGGGGCUGUGGUGUGGGGUGGCUCAAUGCUGCUGGCCACCUGGAUCCUCACACACACUCGGGCGCACACACAGGCACACACACACACUCUCACUCUCCCAGUGCACACACACACACAUGCUUACUCUCCCUGUACACACACACACAUGCUCACUCUCCCUGUACACACACAUUUUCCCUGUACACACACACUCUCCCUGUACACACACACACAUGCUCACUCUCCCUGUACACACACACACGCUCACUCUUCCUGUACACACACACACACGCUCACUCUCCUUGUACACACACACACUUGAUCUCACUGCACACACACACCAGCACACGCGCUCACACACAUUGUCUUACACACCUGAGCUGGGGACCGAUGAGACUGACCAAUGAGACUCAGUUCAGUGACAGCAAAAUCCUGCAGCCUCGUGACAGGGCUCAGGGAGGGCUGCCUGCCUGGGAGGGGACAGCAGCCAUGGCCUCACAUGGCCAAGGUUGCUAGAGAGGGGGCCUCAGGUCAUCCUCACACGGGCCUGGUGUGCUGGUCGUAUUUCUGUUUUCAGAUGAGAAACUUGAGACUGAGGUCCAGAGGGGAGAAAGGACGCACUCAGGACAGGGCUUGUUUGGGGCACAGCUGGGCUGGAGUCGGGGUCUCUGACACCCAGCCCUGGAGACCCUCUCUCGGCAACCUGGGCCAUGGCAGUUGUCAAAACAAAUCGGCAAGUCCUUGAUGGAGCCCCAGAAGGGAGAGUGGCCAGUUCCACGGUGAGCAGUGCCC